CCUACGGGGCGCAGCAGUGGGGAAUAUUGGACAAUGGGCGAAAGCCUGAUCCAGCCAUGCCGCGUGUGUGAAGAAGGCCUUCGGGUUGUAAAGCACUUUCAGUGGGGAAGAAAGCCUUGGGGCUAAUACCCUCGAGGAAGGACAUCACCCACAGAAGAAGCACCGGCUAACUCCGUGCCAGCAGCCGCGGUAAUACGGAGGGUGCGAGCGUUAAUCGGAAUUACUGGGCGUAAAGCGCGCGUAGGCGGUCUGAUAAGCCGGUUGUGAAAGCCCCGGGCUCAACCUGGGAACGGCAUCCGGAACUGUCAGGCUAGAGUGCAGGAGAGGAAGGUAGAAUUCCCGGUGUAGCGGUGAAAUGCGUAGAGAUCGGGAGGAAUACCAGUGGCGAAGGCGGCCUUCUGGACUGACACUGACGCUGAGGUGCGAAAGCGUGGGUAGCAAACAGGAUUAGAACCCCGGUAGUC
rnacentral:rRNA from 1 species